GUAGCAGGGGCCAGACUGUGACGUGGGAAUUAAGCCCAGCUCUGCAGGUUGCAUUUUCAUCUUUUUCAUCUUCUCACGCCUUGAGGGCUGCAAGAAAGCGUAAGAUUGCCAUUCGAAAAGCCCAGGGGAAAAAUGUGGAGGCCAUUCGGGAGCUGAAUGAGUAUCUGGAACAAUUUGUUGGAGACCAAGAAGCCUGGCAUGAACUUGCAGAACUUUACAUCAAUGAACAUGACUAUGCAAAAGCAGCCUUUUGUUUAGAGGAACUAAUGAUGACUAAUCCACACAACCACUUAUACUGUCAGCAGUAUGCUGAAGUUAAGUAUACCCAAGGUGGACUUGAAAACCUCGAACUUUCAAGAAAGUAUUUUGCACAGGCAUUGAAACUGAACAACAGAAAUAUGAGAGCUUUGUUUGGACUUUAUAUGUCGGCAAGUCAUAUUGCUUCUAAUCCAAAAGCAAGUGCAAAAACGAAAAAGGACAACAUGAAAUAUGCUAGUUGGGCAGCUAGUCAAAUAAACAGAGCUUAUCAGUUUGCAGGUCGAAGUAAGAAGGAAACCAAAUAUUCUCUUAAGGCUGUCGAAGACAUGUUGGAAACAUUGCAGAUCACCCAGUCUUAAGGUUUCAAAAACUCUUUGACAUUAGAUUUCACAACUGC
rnacentral:lncRNA from 1 species